UACAGAGGGUGCGAGCGUUUAAUCGGAAUUACUGGGCGUAAAGCGUGCGUAGACGGCUAUCUAAGUCGGGUGUGAAAGCCCCGGGCUCAACCUGGGAAUUGCAUUCGAGACUGAAUAGCUAGGGUGCGGUAGAGGGAAGCGGAAUUUCCGGUGUAGCGGUGAAAUGCGUAGAUAUCGUAAGGAAGACCGGUGGCGAAAGCUAGUCUCUGGGCCGAUACUGACGCUGAGGAGCGAAAGCGUGGGGAGCGAACAGGG
rnacentral:rRNA from 1 species